CUACGGUGAUUAUUUAAAGACUGAGCUCUCUCUCAUGACUUAGAUCUAUCAGUCCCCCAAAAUAGUUUAAGCUAUUUUAGUAGA
rnacentral:snoRNA from 10 species